CAGCAGACUGGUCAGUUAUAAGCUUUACUGCAGGUCUCUGAAACAAAAACUGGAUGAGGUUUCCGACUUGUCUUGUUUCAUGUCCUUGGGAACAUGAUAUGACCAUGUGAGGUAUCCUUGGUCUUUGCCAUCCAGAGAGUGAGAAUUUCUGGGGUCAUGUCAGGUGGCUGGUCAUAAAAGAUCAGGAUUCUGAGACUCAUCAGCACACUGUUGGUCCAAAUGUGUCAAGCCAUAGGGUGAGUAUUGCCUUAGGGGCUUUUUCAUCUUCUUCCAUCUUAUGCCCAUUUCUGAGAGUGAAUUCUUGGGGGUCAUGGAGAUGCCUCCUCUAUCCUCUCUCUAGAAAUACCUCUUGCUUAUAUGAUUUUUAAAACCUAAAAAAUUAUCAUUGGGAAGAUAACCAUGGUUGUGAAGUGUCCCAUCUCUGGAAGAAAUGCUGAACAACUGAUUUACAGCUUUGUUGCCACUGGCCAGACCACCAGGUGGUCCAUUACUCAAGAUAAUCAUCACAACCAGAUAAUGCUGCUCUGCAAACUAUCACGCCACUCCACUCCAGCCUGGGUGACAGAGUGAGACGCCAUCUCAAAAAAAAAAAAAUUGUAUAAAAUUACCUACAAAUAAAACUUCACCAAGAAUUCAAAGAAAGCCAUGAAUCCCAUCUCCUGACCCAUCACAUUUUUUUUUAACCUGUCAGAUCUCCAAAGAGAUUAGGUAACUCUGGAGGAUUCCUUCCAAAACUGGUUGGGGUAAGGAGUCAAAAGUCAGGAGGAGCCUUCUAGGUGAGGGCUCGUGGGCAUUGAGUCGGAUGGAGUACAGUG
rnacentral:lncRNA from 10 species